rfam:Asian citrus Psyllid, Diaphorina citri - Florida Strain, whole genome shotgun sequence.
GCCUAGUUAGCUUGGUUGGUAGCGCGUCUGCCUUGUAAGCACUAGGUCGCGAGUUCGAUUCCCGCCCGGGGCG